UGGUAUCCUCUCUCCCCAUUGCUCCAGGUGAGAAGAAGAGGUCAUUGGGGAGGGACUACCACCCUCUGUGUCUGAAGUGUCAACUGUGUCAGAGACAGUUGACCCCGGGACAACAUGCUGAGCAUGAUGAGAAACCCUACUGCACUAACUGUUACAUGAAGACGUUUGGUCCCAGAGUUAGAUACUCAGGUAACAGGAGACUGAUGUCAAACUGUCACAGCUCAGCCUCCUCUUCCUCUUCCUCCUCCUAGGAACCAGUCUAACAAACCAAAAACCAACCAAAAUACAACCUAAUGAGAACUAACAGGCUAUCAACAAGGAUCUAUGUUCAACAAACCUGAUAUUCAGCCAUCAAGCC